GUCGUGAGGCGGAGCAAAUCACAAAACACAGUCUCAGUUCAGAUUGUAGGCUGAAACUCGCCUAUAUGAAGUCGGAAUUGCUAGUAAUGGCAGGUCAGCAUACUGCCGUGAAUACGUUCCCGGGCCUUGUACACACCGCCCGUCACACCAUGAGAGUUGGGAAUACCCGAAGCCUGUGAGCUAACGUAAGAGGCAGCAGUCGAAGGUAGAAUCAAUGAUUGGGGUGAAGUCGUAACAAGGUACC
rnacentral:rRNA from 1 species